GGGGUCGACCGGUUUUGACAGGAUGAGUGGUUACGUGGGUAAGCAUGCAGGCUCAUGGGGUGAGAGCCUUGAAAGAUAGUCCUUUAUUACAAUUGGCGAAUCUAAUUACGCCAUGGCAGCAUAAUCUCGAAGUAUAGUAGAGAUCCUGGGUAACUUGUAAGACAAGUCCCCUGCCACAUCCUACAAAAACUCUGCUUUGCAGUUUUUGAUUUAGGGUGUCGAUGAGCAAAGCUAGCGCUAGCAGGGUUGUGAUGCAUGUGCGAAACUAAUUGCAACUAAGGUUUGGUCUGAGGUUGUUGCCGCCUUGGCCUGACACGAAAAUUUAAGAGUAACUAAGCAUGUAGAAGCUACGAUAGUUGCCUUCUCUGGACGAGAGUUCGAAUCUCUCCGACUCCACAA
rnacentral:tmRNA from 1 species